rnacentral:rRNA from 2 species
GCGGUCUGGUGCCCGCAGCCGCGGUACUUCCAGCUCCAAUAGAAUAUAUCAUAGUUGUUGCAAUUAAAGACCUCCCCGAUGAACCUUGUGUCUGGCUGGCCGGUCCGCCUCACCGCGAAUACUGGUCCGGCUGUACCUUUCCUUCUGGGGAACCUCAUGGCCUUCACUGGCUGUGGGGGGAACCAGGACUUUUUCUGUGAAAAAAUUAGAGUGGUCUCCCCCCGCCUUUGCUCAAAGACAUUAGGUUGCAAAAAUAGAAAAGGACGUGCGGAUCUAUUUUGUUGGUUUCGAGGACCGCCCUACUGAACCCUAGGUAUAGUCGGGGGCUUUUUAACUUCAACUGCUUUAAGUUAAAUUCUUGGAUUUGCUAAUAACUAACUACUGGGAACCCAACUUGCA